rnacentral:rRNA from 1 species
GAUGAACGCUGGCGGCGUGCCUAAUACAUGCAAGUCGAGCGAACGGACGAGAAGCUUGCUUCUCUGAUGUUAGCGGCGGACGGGUGAGUAACACGUGGAUAACCUACCUAUAAGACUGGGAUAACUUCGGGAAACCGUAGCUAAUACCGGAUAAUAUUUUGAACCGCAUGGUUCAAAAGUGAAAGACGGUCUUGCUGUCACUUAUAGAUGGAUCCGCGCUGCAUUAGCUAGUUGGUAAGGUAACGGCUUACCAAGGCAACGAUGCAUAGCCGACCUGAGAGGGUGAUCGGCCACACUGGAACUGAGACACGGUCCCGACUCCUACGGGAGGCAGCAGUAGGGAAUCUUCCGCAAUGGGCGAAAGCCUGACGGAGCAACGCCGCGUGAGUGAUGACGGUCUUCGGAUCGUAAAACUCUGUUAUUAGGGAAGAACAUAUGUGUAAGUAACUGUGCACAUCUUGACGGUACCUAAUCAGAAAGCCACGGCUAACUACGUG